rnacentral:rRNA from 1 species
AUUGAACGCUGGCGGCAGGCCUAACACAUGCAAGUCGAACGAGUGGCGGACGGGUGAGUAAUGUCUGGGAAACUGCCUGAUGGAGGGGGAUAACUACUGGAAACGGUAGCUAAUACCGCAUACCAUCAGAUGGGCCCAGAUGGGAUUAGCUAGUUGGUGGGGUAAAGGCUCACCAAGGCGACGAUCCCUAGCUGGUCUGAGAGGAUGACCAGCCACACUGGGACUGAGACACGGCCCAGACUCCUACGGGAGGCAGCAGUGGGGAAGAUUGCGCAAUGGGGGCAAGCCUGAUGCAGCCAUGCCGCGUGUAUGAAGAAGGCCUUCGGGUUGUAAAGUACUUUCGGCAGAGAGGCGGUAACUGCAGAAGAAGCACCGGCUAACUCCGUGCCAGCAGCCGCGGUAAUAC